AUUGAACGCUGGCGGCAGGCCUAACACAUGCAAGUCGAGCGAGCGGCGGAAGGGUGAGUAAUGUAUGGGGACUGCCCGAUAGAGGGGGAUAACUAAUGGAAACGGUGGCUAAUACCGCAUACUAUCGGAUAACCCAUAUGGGAUUAGCUAGUAGGGGGGGUAAAGGCUCCCCUAGGUGACGAGCUCUAGCUGGUCUGAGAGGAUGAUCAGCCACACUGGAACGGAGACACGGCCCAGACUCCUACGGAGGCAGCAGUGGGGAAUAUUGCACAAUGGGCGAAAGCCUGAUACAGCCAUGCCGCGUGUGUGAAGAAGGCCUUAGGGUUGUAAAGUACUUUCAGCGGGGAGGCGUUACCCGCAGAAGAAGCACCGGCUAACUCCGUGCCAGCAGCCGCGGUAAUUC
rnacentral:rRNA from 1 species